rnacentral:rRNA from 1 species
UACGUAGGAUGCAAGCGUUGUCCGGAUUUACUGGGCGUAAAGCGCGCGCAGGCGGCAUGGCAAGUAAGGUGUGAAAUCUCCUGGCUCAACCGGGAGGGUGCAUUUUAGACUGCCAAGCUUGAGGUCGGUAGAGGGGGGUAGAAUUGCUGGUGUAGCGGUGAAAUGCGUAGAGAUCAGCAGGAAUACCCGUGGCGAAGGCGGCCCCCUGGGCCGUACCUGACGCUGAGGCGCGAAGGCUAGGGGAGCGAACGGG